rnacentral:rRNA from 1 species
ACCUACGGGGGGCAGCAGUGAGGAAUAUUGGUCAAUGGUCGGGAGACUGAACCAGCCAAGCCGCGUGAGGGAUGAAGGUACAGAGUAUCGUAAACCUCUUUUGUCAGGGAACAAAGGCGGGGACGCGUCCCCGGAUGAGUGUACCUGAAGAAAAAGCAUCGGCUAACUCCGUGCCAGCAGCCGCGGUAAUACGGAGGAUGCGAGCGUUAUCCGGAUUUAUUGGGUUUAAAGGGGGCGUAGGCGGACUGUUAAGGCAGCGGUAAAAGCCCUGGGCUCAACCCCGGCGCGCCGUUGAAACUGGCUGG